AUGAGCACGGAGAUGCUUUUACGAUUUUUGCUUUUCUUUAUGAUCAUUGUUCGGACCCUCUCAAUGGGACGUCAAACACCAUCACCACCACGUCAAACAUCAUCAUCCAAUAAAAAAGGUUCAGGGCCGUCGAUUUGGAGCGGCGGUCGUAAAUUUGUGAGGGUGUUCAAGGAAAAGAUAAAGGAAAGGACAUAUACGGAUGACCAGUGCGUGGUAUAUUGUAAGGAGAGGCAUGGAUACUUCUUCAAUACCGACAUUAAGAAUUACGAACUCGUCAGCACCACUGGCACAAUCUUAGGCUUUGGGGUAACAUGUUCUUGCUACGUAUCGAUCAAUCUCAAACAGUUUAUCAUGAACAAAUUUGGAGAGGAAAAGGUUGCGGAGGAUUUCGCAAAUUGGUGGUCUCGCGGUUUCCGCGAAAAGAAUGCAAAGAGCAAGCUGAACAACUUGGCCAAUCGCAAAGGUCUUGCAACCAUCGAGUUCCUCACAUUCGCGCAAUUUGAACAGACGUUAAGACAGAGGAUGGACGAAGAAACGUCCAAGUUAAGAAGGCAAGUGUCGGACGAUAAGAAAGUGGAACUUGCGAGACAAGCGUCGUUUCAGAGACGUAUAGAGAGUCUCAAUAGUGAGCUCCAAACGUCGCGCGAUGAGGUCCGAAAACUUGAGGGUCAGCUGGUUGAGAAGAACCAAGAGAUCGCGAGAAUCCGAGGGAAGGAGCAGCCAAAAAGGAGGAGCUCAGGAUCCUGCAGAACGAUUAUAGGAACAAAGUGGCGUUAUUGGACGAGAAUAAAACAUCUAUGGCUGAAUUGCAGAAGGAAUUGGACAAAAUCAAGGAACUCCACGCAAAGAAAGUCCAGGAAUUGA
rnacentral:lncRNA from 1 species